UGCACUAUUCUUUAAACCUGUGGAUGGGAAUUUUCCCCAUUCUUGGUUACGCUGUAGUGCAAAAGAAUUCCUGGCUCUUUCUCUUGCACAGCUGACCUGCCAUUCUGCUGUUGCUAUGUAGAGUUAAGGAACAUAA
rnacentral:snoRNA from 10 species